rnacentral:lncRNA from 1 species
CUGCAGCAUAUGGAAGUUUCCAGGCUAGGGGUCAAAUCGGAGCUGCAGGUGCAGGCCUACAUCACAGCCACAGUAACCUGUGAUCCAAGCUGUGUCUGUGAUCUACACCACAGCUCACAGCAAUGCUGGAUCCUUAACCCACUAAACAAGGCCAGGGAUCAAACCCACAUCUUCAUGGAUUCAAUUCAAUUCUGCUGUGCCACAGCGGGAACUCCUGAAAAUUUAAAUCUUUUAAUAAAAUGUUGCCCUUCUGUCUUCCCUAAAUAUGUCACUAAGAUUUUGAUUGAUACUGUGUUAAAUUUAUAGAUUAAUUUUGGGGGAAUUUGCAUCAUUACAAUAUUAUGUCUUUCCAUCCAGCAAUAUGGUAUGUUUCUCUAUUCAACUCUGUCUAUCAGUAAAAUUUGAAUGUUAUUUAGUUUCCAUUUGGUUUAAUUCUGGAUAUUUUAUAGCUUUUUGGUACUGUUAAUAAAUACUACUUUUUAAAACAUUUUUCUAAUGGCUUUUGCUAGUACAUAGAAAACACUAUUAAUUUUAUGAUUAUUGAUUGGGUAAUUGUUCACUCAUUAAGACUAACUUAAAGAGUCUAAUAUUCUUCUCUAUCCAUUCACUCAUUCUGUAAAUAUUCACUGAAUGUUUACAAUGUGCCAGGCACUAUUCUGGGUUCUGAAAAUGAGCAGUUAAAAAAAACAAAGACAAAAACAAAACUGUCCUCAAGAUCUUUACAGUCUGGAGUUCCUGCCAUGGCACAGUGGGUUAAGAAUCUGACUACAGCAGCUCGGGUCACUGUGGAGGUGCAGGUUCAGUCUCUGGACCAGCUCAGUGGCUUAAAGGAUCUACUGUUGCCGAAGCUACAGUGUAGGUUGUAGCUGUGGCUCAGAUUCAAUUCCUGGUCUAGGAACUUCCAUGGGCUGCAGGUGCGACCAUAAAAUUAAAAAACAAAAACAAAACAAACAAAAAAAAACUUUCCAGUCUACUGAGAGGAAAUACUAAAUAAAUAAAUAUAUGACAGGCAGUGAUUAAGUGCUAAGAAGGUUAGGCAAGCAUAGUAAAGAGUAUGGAAAAUGACCAUGAAAAAUACUAUUUCAGAUAACAUGUUCGAAAACCACCUCUGAUAAGUUGAAGUUUGAGGAGAGACUUAAAAUGAUGUUGCUUUUUUUGGGUUUUCCCUGUAGACAUUUAUAUCACUAUACACUUUCCACCCUCAGCAAGAUUUCCACGCUCCUGGAAAACUGCCUGUCCAGUGGCAGCAACACCAAAGAUUUAGUCUAUAAAGGAAGUUUCCAGGGUUCUCAGUAUCCCUAGAUUUCAAUUAUGGCUCCAUAGGUCCUUCUAACUACAACCCCAACUGGAUUUUAGAGGCUCACAGAGUUCAGUGUGCUCCUGGUAAGCUGACUUACCCCUCCCCUCCCAAAUCACAGUAUCUGCCUGCCUCACCAAAAUAAACUGCCUAGGGACAAUUCUGACACUCUAAUUGGAGACUACAAACUGCUUAAAAGAACAAUCCCAAUAGGAAAAGAAAGAACUCCAUCUUAUCUCAUGUGCCUAUUUGCCUCUUGUAACAGGUCAAGUACAUCAUAUAGAUUCUUAAUUCCAUAAUGCUUUGCUCUAUUCUAGAAUAAUUUCCCACUUCUCUUGAUCUAUUUUGAUUCUUUCAGUGUGCUAUUGUCAGUCAAAUCCCCUAUCAGCCUUAAACAACUUUUAUAAACAUUGUGUUUAUCUUCUUACUCUAACCAAAAACCUAGCCAUCUCCUAGUAAUAUUGUUCCUUGCAAUGCUCUCAAGUUGUAGCUGUUUGUUUGUUGUUAUUUUAAUCCUUUACCACCUUAACCAAAAUGCCUAGUGAUGAGGUAGGUGCCCCGCAUGCUCCCCACUGACAAUUCCAAACCUUUCCCCUUCCUUCCAAAAUCUUAGUUCCCUCGAGGUAUAUACCAUUACAUUAUAGCCUGAACCUACCCAGGUUGACUGCCUGCUAAAACAAAAUACCAACAUUCUCAAUAGAAUUUACACAAUACAGUUUCAAAACACAGCAGUCAAAAUGUCUAGGAUGCAAUCCAAACUUACUAAGCAUACAAAGAACCAGGAAAAGUCUCAAUUCACAUGGGGAAGAAAGAUGUCAAUGUUGAGAGAAUACAGAUGAUAGAGUUAUCUGACAAAGGCUCUGAGGGAGCUAUUUGUUGGGAGACAAUUCUCCACUGAUCUGUUGUAUUUCUGCAUGUCUUUUGGGCAAGGGCAUUAAUAGCUUUUUUCCUGGACUAUCUUUUCAGGGAUGUUUAUAGAGCAAACAUCCUUGGAAGACAGAGAUAACGUCUUCUUCUAGGGCCAAGGACAGAUUUGUGUGCUACCUGAAUAAAAAAGAUAACUUCUCUCUCCAGGGCACAGCUGGAUAGGUUUGCUGGCCCCUUAUGACAAACUGGAGUUUUGCAUAGAGUUCCUCUCCUGUGAUGAAGCUCCCAUGUCACAUGGUCCCCCUGACAUUACUCAGUGGGAACUGGGGCUCAGGAAACUGGCAUAAAUGCCGACAUUCUGCUUCCUGCUCCUGCUGUGGGUAAUAAAUUGUCCUUUGUCUCUGACCCUGGGGACUCAUGUCUUCUGCUACUAUCCCUGAAACUAUGGCAGCCUAGCUUGUUAGCUUGCAAGUAAGGUAAAAUCUCAGGCCCUUCAAAGUUUUCAACUCCGUUAUAAAAAUUCUCUUAGCAAGCAAUCAAAAGCAUUUUUGAAACCAAUGGAAAAAUACAAAUUAUCAGCAAGAAACAGAAAAUAUAAAGAAAAAAACAAAUGUUUAGUUUAGAACUGAAAAAUGUAGUAGCCAAAAAUUUAAAUAUUUAAAUUUAAAUAUUAAAUAUUCAUUCAGUACCAGAGUAAAGAUGACAAAGCAAAAUGUCAGCGAAAUUGAAGAUAGAUCAAUACAAAUUACUCAGCCUGAAAGAGAGAGAAAAAAAAUAUCGGAUAAACACUUAAUAGAAUCUCAGGGACCUGUGGGAUAAUAACAAAAAGUGUUGAAAAUUUGGGCAAAAGACAUAAAUCAACAGAGUCAAGAACCUCAACAAAGCCCAAAUAUAAUGAACAUAAAGGUAUUUGUGCCCAAAAAUAUCAUCGUCAAAAUGCUGAGAAAUACAGAAAAAUGUUGAAAGCAGCCACAGAAAUGCAAUUAUUACCUACAGGGUAACAACAAUUUGAAUUACUGUAGAUUUCUCAUAAGGGACCAUGAAAUCUGGGAGGAAAUGACACAACAUUUUUAAAGUGAUAAAGAAAAGAAUGGUCAACACAUAAUAGUAGGUACAGUAAAAAUAUCUUUCAGAAGUUAAGGUGAGAAGUUCCCAUUGUGGCACAGUGGUUAACGAAUCCGACUAGGAACCAUGAGGUUGCAGGUUCAAUCCCUGGCCUUGCUCAGUGGGUUAAGGAUCCAGCGUUGCCGUGAGCUGUGGUGUAGGUCGAAGAUGAGGCUCGUAUCUGGCGUUACUGUGGCUGUGUCUGUGCCAUAGGCCGGCAGCUGUAGCUCUGAUUCAACCCCUAGCCUGGGAACUUCCAUAUGCCACAGGAGCGGCCCUAAAAAGACCAAAAAAAAAAAAGAAAGAAAGAAAAGAUAUCUAUCCUUUAAGCAAUUUAUUAGGAAAUGUUUUAUCUUCUAGAUUCAGUGUCUACGUGUCUACUCUAAAACUGGAACUAUGCUCUUUAAAUACUUUUCAUUUGCCAGUUGGCACAAUGUUAAGCUAUGUCAGUAGAGGGUGCUGGGAAGAACUUUCCUUCCUGGUUCUUGCUUGCUUUCUUGGCUGGCACUAGUAACACACAUAGUUUCUUCUGCAUACACACCCCCCACCCUCCGCCCCCAAUCCUACAGUGCCUAUAGCUUUUCCUUUACCUGGCGCCUGAAGUGUAGGUGACUUCCUAGUGCUUAGUUUCUACAGUGCAGGCGGCUUCCCCAAUAACAGGCUCCUGCAGUCUGAGCAAUUUCACCAGUACCCAGCAGCUUUCCCAGAUCCAACCUCAGACUACUUUGGAGCAGAGUGGCUCCCACAAGACACCUACCCAGGAAAGCUUUCUCUCGUAUCAAUAAAGAUACCUGGCGCCUGAAGUGUAGGUGACUUCCUAGUGCUUAGUUUCUACAGUGCAGGCGGCUUCCCCAAUAACAGGCUCCUGCAGUCUGAGCAAUUUCACCAGUACCCAGCAGCUUUCCCAGAUCCAACCUCAGACUACUUUGGAGCAGAGUGGCUCCCACAAGACACCUACCCAGGAAAGCUUUCUCUGGUAUCAAUAAAGACCAGAAGGGGGAUUUCCAGCAUGGUACAUUGGCACAGAACCAAAGCAAAUUUGCUGUCAGACAAUAAGUCAUGGCCUU